rnacentral:rRNA from 1 species
UACGUAGGGUGCGAGCGUUGUCCGGAAUUAUUGGGCGUAAAGAGCUCGUAGGCGGUCUGUCGCGUCGGUCGUGAAAACUUGGGGCUUAACCCUGAGCUUGCGGUCGAUACGGGCAUGACUGGAGUUCGGCAGGGGAGACUGGAAUUCCUGGUGUAGCGGUGAAAUGCGCAGAUAUCAGGAGGAACACCGGUGGCGAAGGCGGGAUCCUGGGCCAGUACUGACGCUGAGGAGCGAAAGCGUGGGGAGCAAACAGG